rnacentral:rRNA from 1 species
CACUGCCGAGAAAAGCCUCUAGAUAGAAAAUAGGUGCCCGUACCGCAAACCGACACAGGUAGUCAAGAUGAGAAUUCUAAGGUGAGCGAGCGAACUCUCGUUAAGGAACUCGGCAAAAUGACCCCGUAACUUCGGGAGAAGGGGUGCUCUUUAGGGUUAACGCCCAGAAGAGCCGCAGUGAAUAGGCCCAAGCGACUGUUUAUCAAAAACACAGGUCUCUGCUAAACCGUAAGGUGAUGUAUAGGGGCUGACGCCUGCCCGGUGCUGGAAGGUUAAGAGGAGUGGUUAGCUUCUGCGAAGCUACGAAUCGAAGCCCCAGUAAAC